rnacentral:rRNA from 1 species
CACGUAGGGCGCAAGCGUUGUCCGGAAUUAUUGGGCGUAAAGAGCUCGUAGGCGGUCUGUUACGUCUGCUGUGAAAACCCGGGGCUUAACCCCGAGCCUGCAGUGGAUACGGGCAGACUAGAGGUAGGUAGGGGAGAAUGGAAUUCCCGGUGUAGCGGUGAAAUGCGCAGAUAUCGGGAGGAACACCGGUGGCGAAGGCGGCAUCCUGGACCGGCAUUGACGCUGAGGCGCGAAAGCUAGGGGAGCAAACGGG